rnacentral:rRNA from 1 species
GACGUAGGGCGCGAGCGUUGUCCGGAUUUAUUGGGCGUAAAGAGCUCGUAGGCGGUCUGUCGCGUCGGAUGUGAAAGCCCGGGGCUUAACCCCGGGUCUGCAUUCGAUACGGGCAGACUAGAGUGUGGUAGGGGAGAUCGGAAUUCCUGGUGUAGCGGUGAAAUGCGCAGAUAUCAGGAGGAACACCGGUGGCGAAGGCGGAUCUCUGGGCCAACACUGACGCUGAGGAGCGAAAGCCAGGGGAGCAAACGGG